GUUGCCGGGCUGCGGCCCCGGCAGCCGCGGGGAGCCGGGGCGGGGCUGCCCCUGAGGGAGGGCCUGAGGGUCAGAGCCCACCCGGGCCGCCCUGAGCCCUGACAGCCGGCGCGAACGGGGUGAAUCACGGAAUGGUCGGGGUUGGAGUGACCUCUGGAGAUCACUCAGUCCAUCCCCCUGCCCUGGCAAUGUCACCCGGAGCAGUGACACGGGGACGUGUCCAGGACUUCUGUGAGGCUUUGAUGGACUUCGUGGGUAUCUGCCAAUGUGUCAUUCCCAUGGCUGUUCCCGGCUAGUUUGAUGGGAUCUGUGCCCAUUACUCCUUGUCCUGUCACUACAGUACCUGAGUUCCUGACAGAGUCCUCCUCCAUCUUUCCUGUAGCCCCUUCAGACUAUGGAAGGUGCUCUGAGGUCUCCACACCACCUUUUCUUCUUCAGGAAGAAGACAACUUUCUCAGCCUGUCUUCAAAGGGGAGGUGCUCCAGUCCUCUUAUCAAUGUUGUGACCUCCUCUGGACUUGUUCCAACAAUUCCACAACAAUCCUUCUGAUGUGGGGGACACAAGAACUGGACACAGGACUGCAGGUGGGGUCUCACCAGAGCAGAGGUAGAAAAUCUCCUUGGACCUGCUGCCCCUGUUCCUUUUGAUGGAGGCCAGGACAGGGUUGGUUUCUGAGCUGUGAGUGCUCACUGCCGGUUCACGUUGAAUUUUCCAUCAGCUGUGACCCCCAGGUCUUUCUCCACAGGGCUGCUCAGUGCCUUCCCCACCCAACCCUUAGCUGUGUCUGGGAUUGCCCCAGUGCAGAUGCAGGACCUUGCACCUGGCUUUGCUGAACUUCACGAAGUUCCCACCAGCCCCACCUCUCAGGCCUGCCAAGGUCCCUUGCCAUGGGGUGUGACAGACCACAGCUGUGGCGCUGCAAGCUGACUUGAGCUCUGCACAACAGGGACCAGGAGUGGCCUUUGGUUCAGAUCAACAGCUGAGUGGAUCAACUGGUGGUUUAAAUACCUCCCCGAGUUACACCCGGAAGGGGAAUUAAUCGUUAUCCCCUCCACAUCUGGGAUGGCUAAAAGAACCUGGGCAGAGAGCACUGGACUCUGACACAUCAUAUAGGAUGUGAUGAAAUCCAGGAGAGCAUUUCCUUAACCCCUACCACAGCUAUUAACCUUGUACCUUACCUAUAAAAUCCUGCUAUGCAAAGUUUUGUUUCACAGAGGCACUCUGUCAAGCCUCUCAGAACAGAUUCCAGUUUUAGAAGCAUGUAGAAAGUGCAUCAGCCUGUUCCUCACCCCAAAAGCCCUCUGCCCAACAUAGCAGCAUUCAGGAGGGUGGCACAUCUGAACCAUGAACUUGCUCCCAGUGCAGCAGCUGAUUGUAUCGGGUGUUGAGAAGACAGCAUUGCUUUUAUGGAAUUCCAGGCUUUUUUCUCAAAUACAUCAAUGCAGUAUUGGAAGAAAAAGAAUGGAAUUAGUGAGAUGAAAGUACAUACAGAAAAUGCCACCAUGACAAGCAGUCUCCAACAGUGUUUGCAACUUAAGGAGAGGGUGUGUAAGAAGCUCCCACAGCCUAAAGGUCACUGAUGUGGACUGGUUAGCACAGGAACAAAACACUUAACAUUCCCUGUGCCUUCAUCCAUGGAGAAAACAUGGUCUUUCAUUUCCACAGCUCCUUUAUACAGUGCUGGCUGUCAAACAUUGCAGUGACACACUGCCCCACUGACCUCCCCUUGUCCAUAAACGCCGCUGCUCACUGCUUCUCACAGGUGGAAUUGUGAUGUCUGACACUGGUUGGUUCCAGAUCAAAGUCAUCGUCCUCUAAAAAUGAAUUAUGGAUCCAAGGAGAUCCAACAGAGGCACUGAGGUAAGAAAAGCUGUAUUUGUGAGAACUCAGAAGUAAGACAAAAAAGUUUCUGCUUGCAUACUCUUAAAGAAUGGAAGCCCAUCCUCUCCACAAAAAAUAGGUCCUCCCACACAGUGACACAUGACACCACGCAUCUGUCAUUUUAAGGCAGCUCAGCCCAACCUAGACUAUUCAAAGGAGAAUAGAUCAGGGAAGAGGAAACCUGCAGGAGAAACCAAGAACCCAGUGCUUGCAGGGUAGCAAAAAGAUGAUGCAGGAAUGUGAUAUUAUGACACAAAUGUCAUUUGCUAAAGGAUCACACAGGCGAAAGAGCUGACGGCCCAGGGGACAGAGCACAUACAAAGCUACAGCGUAUGAUGUUGGUGUACACAGGAGGAAGUGCUUUAUCUUCUAGUGAAAAAUAAAAACUUUAAAGAUGUCAGAUUUGACAAACUGGUUUAAUCUACAGCAUCUCUGCAUACGGCCAGCCUACCUUGUUGCAGUGUCAAAUUCUUAGAUAAUACAGCUUUGGGGUGACUUUGGAGGAUUCUUCAGGAAAUGAAGAUACCUCCUUACCCAUUCUGAUCUUUUGGAGGAGCCAUGCAAAAUUUUAUAUAUUGCUGCUGUAAGUGCCUCAGUACUGAACCAUCCCUCUGCAGUUCUGAAGGACAAGCUUUGUGCAGGGAAUGCCCACAGGGUUCAUCUUGUUCUUGCCUCCCAUCCCCACAGAACAAUCCAUCCAGGUUAUUGCUGCAGACAUGUGGCCCUCACAUGGGUCAGUUUGCAGGACUGAGACCAAAAAGCAUAAAUGGAAAUGAAAUCAACCAAAGCAAAAAGAAAUUAGCCCUUAGUGCGUAUUUAGUUACAAAAAUCAGUGGCAAGUAGGAAAAGGAUGCAGAUCUCCCAGUUACAUUAUGGGGUGCUCAUUAAACACUGAAAAAAAAAAAAAAAAAAGCUGGGUAGUCACCCUUUUUCAUUCAAGCACAAUUAAACCCCCUCUAUUCCAUCACAGUGUGUACAAAAUCACAUACAGUUAAAUAAGCAACUGAAAGCGUGAAUGAGAUUCUAAUAUACAGUACUUUCACACAGCCAAAGCUAUUUUAUUUUACAAGACGGGGCUUUUGCAUUCAUCUUCUCUCCAGAAAGCCCAGAAAAAACAGCAUAAACUACUUAAGCAAAAUUUAAGAGACAACUUACAAAGUAAAAUUUGCAUAGCGCUGUAAAUCCAUGUAUUCGUUUGGGCACAGUUCUCCAUAAAAACUACAGUAGGUGACAGGGUCGGGUUUUCUUAAUAGCUUCUUGUUUCUCACCAGACUCAGACACGCUUCUUCUGAGCGUCAUAAAAUCAAGUGUAGGAAAUAACUGUAAAAACGUACAAAAAAUAUAUACACAUGCACAGUAAAUGCAUACCCUGUAUACAGUUUUAUUACUCGUUAGAUUUGGCUAAUAACGAUCAUCUGGUGACUCACGCUUCCCUCCGAAUGACAGGUUUGCAACACAUCAAUCAGCUUAAGGAGGGCGAGUCUCCUCAGGGAGAAGGUUUUGAUUAAAGCUACAGUACUUGCUGGUGAUCUGAGGAGUGAGCGAGGCGCCGGCCGGCAGCGGCCGCCGGGCGUUCAGGCGAGCUCAGAUGUCACAAGGGACAGCUCGGACACAGCUGAAGCGAAGGGACACAGCUUGGCUCUCUGCACAGAUGCACAUGCACGGGGAUAAAGGAGGUACAGGGAACCCGCUCAUGCCUCGGGGUGUGAAAUUUAAUUCCUGAUUAGGCUCUGCUGCCUACUCUUCCUUCCUUCGCAAAUUGUAUUUUAGUAAUUAGUAACUCGGUGCGUUUCCCUUAAGAAUGCACGCUGGCCAAAAUGAAAAAGUUGGGUAAGACUGAAAAUUGGUAGCCCCCACGCUUAGGAAUACUUCUAAUUUAAAAUUUAAAAGAACUAUUAUAUCCUGAUUGCUGCUGAAGUGUCUAAUUUUAAAAUGGAUUUUUCUCCUAAAAAGAUAAAAUGCUAGUGGUUUUUAGAAAUAGCCUAUCUGCACUCAAGUGCUCUCAAUAGUGAAAGCGCACAAAUAAUCUUUCUUUACAGUUUCAAAAACCGAGCAGUGGCUGGUAACUACAGGUGUAACAUUUUAAGAAAUACAAGCAGCUUUCUAAAAGCCUAGAGAGGCCAAGGAUCAGAAAAACACAUAUUUGCCUUAGAUGCCAAUCCCAUGUCUUCCCAGUUCUGAAGUAUGACAUACUUUCAUGGCUUUUUCUGGUGGCUAACACAUGUGGCAGAGACCCUGUGAUGCUGACUUCCAGAAUGUUCUCACCCCAAACCACAGCAGGUAAAUAACACACACAACCAACAGCCUGCAAGCAUCUUGCUGCAGAGACAAUCAGAUAAACCAGCCUUAAAGAUAAACAGGGCAGAAUGAGAGUCCCCAUCUGACACAAGGAAGAAUUCUGGCCCAAAUCACAUGGACAUGACAAGGGUUAUUCUGUAAGUUGUCACAGGGAGGUCUCACAUCCACAUUAGAGUCAGAGCUUGCCUCUCACCUAGCUGCCUCUGCUUUGCAAAGCUCCUGGUGAUCACUCAGUUUUCUCAGAGCAAGAAUUUGGCUGGACCUGUCAGUGUUCCUGCUCCUCCCAGCGAUGCACCUUGCCAUGUUUCUUCCCCCUCACAGCUCCCAGCACAGCUGUCACCUGCUUCAAAUCCCAGCUUCACUCAGCACCAGCAGCCCUGGACCCGCCUGUUAUGAUCAGAAGGUUCAGGAAUACAGGAACAAGCAGCUGUGACACAGUGGGUGGGAGUACAAAUUCAGCAUUCCCAUCACAGGGAUGAGCUUCUUUGUGCAGGCAUACAGCAGAACUUGCAGCAAUCUUCUGCUGGGAAUCAGAACCUUCAUACCAGGGGACAGAAGCACAUGGCAUCCAGGAGGUGCUGUGAGCUAUCCUGCUGCAUCCCAUCUUCAAAGGAGAUCAAGGAAUGGAUUCUUCACUUUGAUCUGUGUUGGCCUCCAGCACCUGCAUGAAACACUUGGGCGAGGUCUGCCCAAGCCUGGCUUUAGACUUCUUAGCAAAUACUUCUCCAAGAGGCCAAAAUACAUCAGAUUGUCUGUCUUCAAUCUGAAACACUCUGUGUUAUGUGAAGUCAGCAUUAUUAAAAGCCUCCAACCCCACAUUUCUUCAAAAGGUUUAUGAAGCAAAACCAGGUUUUAGGGGAGUCCCAAAACAGUACUUUCAGCAAGUAUCUGAUGGACAGUGACUUCCUUGCUUUCUCAUUAUUCCAACUCUUAGUAAAAACCUUGUCCCAACUCCCCUUCACCAGAAGGACCUGUUGCCAGGUAGAGAGGGCCUGUGUGAACAGGCCUGGCAUGGUCUUCUCUCCCCUGCUAGAAGUUUUGAUUUGAAGCAGCAAAGUUGCAUCAUCACGUAACACAAGCACAACCCUGUCACUUCAGACCUAGAGCUGUCCACCAGUGCCAAAAUUCAGGAAGACAAAACCCCCAGCCAUGUGAGACAACUGCUGUAGGACUGGCUGAGCUGGAAAGCUCCGAGUUCCUGCUAAGAGGUUGCAGCCAGCCCAUCUGCAGAAGAUACAGGUGAGCAAAUAUACAGACAUCGGUGAUGGAGACAAGAGGUACCACGUGGAAGUGAGCAGACGCACUCACUUCUCCUGUGAAUACCAGGCAAUUAGGACACAGGCAGCAGUCAGAUUCAUUGGUCAGCAAUUAAGUGUAGAGCCCUUCGAGAUAAGUUAAAGGAGAACAAAGGAACAUUGCCCAUGCUCUUUGUGCCAGAGACAGAUAUUUUGCUCAGUGAUGCAAAGUCAAUUGCAAGAGCACAUUCAGCCCACAAUGAGCAAAAGAGAACUGUAAUCCUAUCGAGCCAAGGCCUCUGGAUACCAUGUCCUUCUUCAGCAUCAGCUCUUUGUGCCUUCCUAACUCAGAGGUGCCACGUGGCAGCAAGUCCCCGAGCUCUCUCACCAGGUUCUCAGAUGUAGGUCAACGUGAUGCUACUUUGAAACUGCAAAUCCCACUUGAAGAGCAGCAUCAUUGCUGUCGGUGACAAUGACAAGUGCUGCCAACGCCAAGAGCAUACUUCUAUCAUCUGUUCACAUUGGUCUGAGAACCAUUCCUCUUCGGAGUCAAUACUGAUGACCAUGGCAGUCAGCUUGCAAGUCCAUACUGGAAAACUCUAUUUACUCCAAACAAAUAAGCAGUAAAUGAAAAUUCUUAGAAGUGGAGAGAAAAAAAAACACUCCCAU